rnacentral:tRNA from 1 species
GCCCGGAUGGUGGAAUCGGUAGCCACAAGGGAUUUAAAAUCCCUCGGCGUUCGCGCUGUGCGGGUUCAAGUCCCGCUCCGGGUACCA